UAAAAAGAUAGAAAACCAGUAAGUAGUUAU
rnacentral:piRNA from 1 species